AAUAGCUCUAAAAAGUAAAUGCCUGCUCCAUACGCAGAAUUCUGUACCUCAGAAGGCCAUCAUCUCCAGUUGUCUUUUGUAUCUAUGGACACAGUAACUAAGCAGCCAGCUGUCUGAGUGGCUCCCAGGCCCUGGCAGCUGAUGCACAGCGUACUGGCAAACCGCUGAAGAUUUUGCCUACAGCCUAAUUCUCACUUCAGUCCCACAAGCAAGACAAGUUGCAGUCUAGGAAUUCAGCCAGCCAGCUAAGCACUACUUUGCCAAAAAUCCUUCCAGAGCUGGCUUUGGCAAAGAGACCACAUUUGCUUCCCAGGUGCAGCAUGUAAGCCUGCUGAAAGUUUACACAACUGAUUGAAGCGAUAAGAUUGUUUUAGGGACCUUGUCUCCCUUGUUAGAGCACAAGCAAGAGAAAAGUCUAGCUUGGAACUGAGCUUCUUUAUUCACACACUGAUUAGGCACCUUUAUGACAAAAA